rfam:Bacteroides fluxus YIT 12057 genomic scaffold Scfld8, whole genome shotgun sequence.
CCUCUUAUUCCGUUAAGAGUAGCCUACCGAAGCGUGCGUAGUUGGCAACGACUGGGUGCGAAGCCUUCGGGACAAUAUGGCGAGGUCUUGAACAUCACAAGACGCAGCUG